UGUGAGUAUAAGCCGACGUCUAUAUAGACGUCGGUGGAUAUCUUUAAUCGACGUUUAUAUGGACGUCGGUUCUGAGGAAUUGCGACGUCCCAUAGACGUCACCCGUAUAGACGUCGGAUGUGAAAGUGACGUUAAAAGCCCAAAUUAACCGACGUUAAACAGCGUUUUUGCACUAGUGGUUUGGGCCAAAUAUAUCUCGUGCC
rnacentral:lncRNA from 1 species